rnacentral:lncRNA from 1 species
CCAAAUAUUAGAAGCAAAGAUCCCACAUCCUUAGUUUGACCCCAAUGGCGAAAGCUGCGUACGCUUCAACGUAAGCAUAAAGAACUUGAUCAUCGCUGAGAUCCUUUUGACUCCAAUCACUUUUUCUGAUCUCUUCUUUCAGCUCCACUUCGAAUCCUAGAAGUUCAUGAACCAUCUCCUCCACAGAAAGAUUUUCAAGACCAUCCUUUAAUAACCUCAGUUCCAUAGGAUCCUUGUACAUCUUCAAACCAUGCUUCGAGCGUGUUAUCCUCUCGCGAUGCCAGUCGUUCGAGAAUCCUCCGAAUUUGUACACCCAAUCAAGAAACAAUUUGCGGAGGCUUUGCGGUAUCGAAUCGGCCCGAUAGAGCUGGAUAAUCAAGCAUCGGUCACCGACGCAGAGACGCAACGUGUUCACAUCAGGAUCCAUGCUGAGACCGAAGACAAGUAUUCGACGGCGGACAUAGUCGGCGCUGCGAAUGAACGUCGUGUUAAUCCACUCAUCGAUCACGGAGGCAGACGUAGUAACGGUGACGGUAAUGUUGGUUCCGUUAAUGUUGACGGUGAAAAUGCUGACGCUCGGCGAUGGUUGCCAUUCUUCUUUUUGUUGGAAACAGCGUAGGGAUGAAAAAGAGCGAGAGACUUAUAAUGCCAUAUAAAAUUAGGUUUUUGUUAUGGACUUGUAGCUACGGAUUUAAAAUAAAAUAAUAAUUGGUUGGUUUAAUUUCUUAACAAAUCAUAUAAGAGACCGCUCAGAUUGAUUGAAUAAUUAAUGUAUUUAGACUAUAAUAUAAAUUAAACUAGACCAUUGACCCCUGCUAACGCACGGGUCAUUUUAAGAAGUAAAUAUUCAUGUAAAAAUAAAACAAUGUAGUUCGCUUGAAUGUAAAAAUUGUCGUGAAUCAAAGCAUAAUGUCAAUUACGAUAAACUUUGUUAUUGUUCCAUAAUUCUAAGACGCGUUUCUGUUACUUUAACAUAACAUAUAAUUUUAAAAGGGAAACUGAAGUUCGUUGACAUGCAAAUAAUUUCAAUAAGUAAGAAAAU